GAUGAAGAACGCAGCGAAAUGCGAUAAGUAAUGUGAAUUGCAGAAUUCAGUGAAUCAUCGAAUCUUUGAACGCACCUUGCGCCCCUUGGUUAUUCCAAAGGGCAUGCCUGUUUGAGUAUCAUGAACACCUCAACUCUUGUGGUUUCCCACAAUGAGCUUGGACUGUGGAGGUUUUGUUGGCCCUGUGGUCAGCUCCUCUCAAAUGGAUCAGCUUACCGGUGUUUGGUGGCAUUACGGGUGUGAUAACUAUCUACGCUCGUGUCGUCUCCAAAUAACCUCCAGUGAUGGAGGUUCGCUGGAGCUUAUAAAUGUCUCUCCCCAGUGAAGACAGCCUUUGAACGUUCGAUCUCAAAUCAGGUAGGACUACCCGCUGAACUUAAGCAUAUCAAUAAGCGGAGGA
rnacentral:misc_RNA from 1 species